UAAAAACGCGGUGACGACUAUGGUUUUAUUGACGUUAACCUUAUCCAUAGCUUGAUGGUCAUGAAUUUACCGCUACAACGCAAUAAUACAAUGUAGGCUACAAUCUCCAACACAGACUUUUACAAUUGUUAAAAUAUAAUGUCCAAAAAAACACCAUAAAAAGAAACUAAGAUCAAAUGAGCAAACAAAUAAGUAAAUAAAAAGAUAAAUAAAUAGAAUGAAGUUACAUAAAAAAAAAUCUUAGUAGCAUCAAAAGAAAUUGUGAAAACCAACUAAUGAUUUAAUGACCUACAAAUGCCAACUAUUUUCACUUUCAAUAUAGCAUUCAUCAUGUUUGUAUGUAAGAUAAGAUUUAUUUCAAAGACAAUAUUCUAUAAUUUUAAAUACUAGAUGCAUAGUCAAAAGAGUGGAUACAAAUAACCAUAUAAAGUUGGUGAAAGUAAAUAAACACAGAAAAAUAUGAUGAGAUACAUUGCAUAACAUCUAUCUAUCAGCCUAUUUACAAAAAUAAUGCUCAGAACUAUAACCAAUUUAUAAGCCCAUGUGUACUUUAAACAAAACUAAACAAGUAACAAAUAAAAUAUGAAAAGAAACAAACAACAGCAAAAGAGUAAAAUCUCCAUUACCUUUCUCUCUCAAUCAUAUCUCAAUAUUUUUCACAAAUUUAUUGUUAUGAAGACAUGUUUCUCGCAGAAGAUAACAAAAUCAAAUUCCACACUUAUUCUUUCUAGAUUUGAUCAACAACAAUAAAAAUAAAAAUCAUGGAUUAAACCAAAAUCAUCUCUCAAUCUCUCACAAUUAAACGCAAAAUCAAAACCACAAUAUAGAUCUAAAACAAAAUGAUAACUAAGUAGGUGAUUGCAAGAUGAUCUUUUUCGAUGGUUUAUGUUUGUGAGGAAGAGGUUGAAAUUGAGCUACAACUCAUGCACAUUGAUGAUAAGUGAUGUUUAUGGAGAAAAUGUUGUGGUUGACCUUGGAUGAGUGGGUUGAUUGGUGGUGGCUCACGGAGAGGAGGUUAAUGGCGGAUCCAUUUAUGUGCGUUUGGUGUUGUUGAUAAAAGGUUGUUUUGUGUUGAGAUUUUUGUGUGAGGUUGGUGAGUUUACGUUCAUCUAUGACAGUGAAAAAAGAACAUGUUUUCGAUUUGGCAAAUGGAUAGGAAGAUUGGAGAAGAGCCCCUUACUUUUUCCAAUUUUUUGCUUAUUAUUUCAAGUUACUAGAGAGAGAUAAUCAUCUUUUUGUGUGGUUCUAGUUUUCGUGAGAGACGAUGGGGAGCAGGUUAUUUGUGAGAGUGAAUAAUGGUGGGACCUGUGGCAUGCCACAAGUGGCUCUUUUUAUUUUUUUUUGUUUUAUUACCAAAACCAAUUACCAGGAGAG
rnacentral:lncRNA from 1 species